GGAUUAAUUUAUUGGUCGUGCUAUUGUACGUACUGGUAUUAUUGAUUCCUACCUUCUGACGAACCAUGAUGUCAUUAAUUUGGUGUCAUGGGGAAUCAGGACUGUUACUUUGAAAAAAUUAGAGUGUUCAAAGCAGGCAAUCGCUUGGAUACAUUAGCAUGGAAUAAUGGAAUAGGACAA
rnacentral:rRNA from 1 species